GAUGAACGCUGGCGGCGUGCCUAAUACAUGCAAGUCGAGCGAACAGACGAUGAGCUUGCUCCUCUGACGUUAGCGGCGGACGGGUGAGUAACACGUGGAUAACCUACCUAUAAGACUGGGAUAACUUCGGGAAACCGGAGCUAAUACCGGAUAAUAUAUUGAACCGCAUGGUUCAAUAGUGAAAGACGGUUUUGCUGUCACUUAUAGAUGGAUCCGCGCCGCAUUAGCUAGUUGGUAAGGUAACGGCUUACCAAGGCAACGAUGCGUAGCCGACCUGAGAGGGUGAUCAGCCACACUGGAACUGAGACACGGUCCAGACUCCUACGGGAGGCAGCAGUAGGGAAUAUUCCGCAAUGGGCGAAAGCUUGACGGAGCAACGCCGCGUGAGUGAUGAAGGUCUUCGGAUCGUAAAACUCUGUUAUUAGGGAAGAACAAAUGUGUAAGUAACUAUGGACGUCUUGACGGUACCUAAUCAGAAAGCCACGGCUAACUACGUG
rnacentral:rRNA from 1 species